UACGUAGGUGACAAGCGUUAUCCGGAAUUACUGGGCGUAAAGCGCACGCAGGCGGCGCAUUAAGUCUGACGUGAAAUCUCCUGGCUUAACUGGGAGGGGUCGUUGGAGACUGAUGUGCUUGAGGCGAUGAGAGGGGUGUAGAAUUCCCGGUGUAGUGGUGGAAUGCGUAGAUAUCGGGAGGAUACCAGUGGCGAAAGCGACACCCUGGCAUUAGCCUGACGCUCAUGUGCGAAGGCGUGGGGAGCGAACGGG
rnacentral:rRNA from 1 species